AUGGCUCUGAAUCAAGGCCGGCAGUUUUCUAAAGCUGUUGGUUUCAAGCGGGAGCCUAAAGAGUUAUCUUUCUAUGGUCUGCUGGCCAUUUCAGAAUUUUAGAAAUGCAUUGGUCAAUUCAUUAAAAAGAAGCAACC
ensembl:snoRNA